CGCGUGAAGUUCACGGCCCAUGCCGCGAGUGCAGUUCGCUGCGCACGGCACCAAGCUCACGACGCCUUCUAUAUAUGCCGUGGCGGGCCGGCGGUAGGCAUUCAGUCGUCAGCAGACGCCACUAUCUCUCAUUGAAACUUCGAGCCGCUCACCACAGCCAGCCAACAUGCCUGACCCUUGCUGCGGAACUGGAGAAACUUGCCAGGGCUCCAGCUGCAACUGCGGACCCUCGUGCACCUGCACAAACUGCGCGUCUGGCACCAAGGGCUCUGCCACCUCCAAGUGAAUCACUGUUUCCUUAAGUCCAACACGGUGUGACAACCGUGUUGCUGCCUCUCUCUCUAUUUAAAUUUCACUGCACUAUUUAAAUGUUUCUUGCUGCAUUUAUUCAUCAAAAUAAAAUGCUAAAAAUCUAAA
rnacentral:lncRNA from 1 species